AUCAGCGUUGUUAAAGGCGCUCCGAUGUGUCGGGCAAAGCGAGGUGAGGCGAUGACCAAAUUAGGAAAGUUGACCAAAUUCCCAUUGUAAAAAGACCAAUGGAACAGUACAAUCAAAUGACCCAAAACUGAAGUUUUGAAGGAGAUUAGAAAUUCAAUUGGCAAUCAAUGCCAACAUAAUUGUGACCCAAAGUAUGUGAGUGCAAUUAGAGUUAACAAACCUAUUUAAUAUGCAAAAGUCAACAUUUUGAUCAAUUAGUCAAAUGAAUAGUAAUCAUCAACAUACCACAAACAAAGAGCUCAAAACUUAGGGGAAAAUUAUAAGAGAAAUUUAGUAUACAUAUAAUUAGUGUUGAAUUAAUUAUGGGAAAUGGUUUAGAUGAGUCUUGAGACGUUUCUAAUUUUGUGUUUCAGUAGAAGAAGAGGCCAGAAAAGAUAAGGAAAAAGUGAGUAAAGGCCUAGAGGCGACUCAUACGAGGUUUAUGCACAAUAAAUUUUGAUUUAUUGUUUUCUACUUGAAAACUUGUUUAGUUGUGCAUUGUAAACUAUUUGUAUUAAUUAUAGGUUUCAAGAAAUGUUGUGUUGCCUAAUUGUGAAUUGAAAUUUGAAAUUAAAAUUUGCUUAAUAUUUGAAUAAAAUGUUUGAAUAACUUGAUUUUGAAUUGGUUUUGGAUUCACACUUAGCAUGAC
rnacentral:misc_RNA from 1 species